UGCGUAGGCGGGUCUUUAAGUCAGGGGUGAAAUCCUGGAGCUCAACUCCAGAACUGCCUUUGAUACUGAGGAUCUUGAGUCCGGGAGAGGUGAGUGGAACUGCGAGUGUAGAGGUGAAAUUCGUAGAUAUUGGGAGGAACACCGGUGGCGAAGGCGGCCCCCUGGACCGGUACUGACGCUGAGGCGCGAAAGCGUGGGUAGCAAACG
rnacentral:rRNA from 1 species